AAUGCUAAUUACUAAAUUAUUGCACAAGUCCUAUAAAAGGCAACACACCAAAAGCUUCUCAGUCAAUUCUAAAAUAAUCUGCAGAAAUGAAACUCUUGGCGUUAGUAUUGGGUCUGAUUCUCAUUUGCGUGACACGCGAUCCGUAUAAUUCAAUAGACUUUAAAUAAUUUAACGUACAAAAAGAAUUUGUAAGAAAAGCAUUUUUUUCUAAUUGCACACUUACACUAAAAGUACGUAAUAAACAUAUAUUGGUUUUUAAAUCACUUAUGAAAAUGAUGCGAUUGGCAGUGCCUAGUAGGCACUGCCUACACAAUUUGUCAGACUCAUAGAUGGAAUCUACAUUGUAAUGUUCGUUUAUUUGGUAAUUCGACUAACUAGUUUAAUAUUCACUACAAUUAAUUGUUAUAGAAUUUUUCUAGUAACUUAAAAGGCUUGUUAAAUUUAUUGAUAAUCAUGAAUGUUAGAUUUAAACAAUUAUAAAGUAUAACUGUCUACAAAAUGUAGAAAUUUUUUUUGCAUCUUGAAAGAUUAUUUAACUAGAAUACACCAAGAUGAAGGUCUUUACAGCCAUUGCUUUACCAACAGUCCAUUCCAGUGCGUUUACAAUCGAUUUAUAUUUAUUUGAAGUGGUAAAUCGAUUAGAUCAAUAUACAGGAAAUACGGAAUGUGUUAAAUUUAAAUUAAAUGCUAAUUUUCCGCAUUUCUACAAAAGUCCUAUAAAAGGCGACACACAAUAAGGGUUCCAAUCAAUUCUAAAAUAAUUUGCAGAAAUGAAACUCUUGGUAAGUUCCAGGCGUUAGUAUUGGGUCUGUGCCUCAUUUGCAGCGUUUAUUCCGCACCGCAGUUUUGGGAGGUGUUUCCCAAUACACUCGGACGCUAAGUUUUUUCCGACUCCAUAUAGUAUACAUGUUACUAUGCAUAAAUGAUCGGUUGCAAUCAAAUAUAAUAUAUUUGAACAUGAAUGAGCCCAACCGUGGAAAAGUGGAUAUUUGGCCUUCUUCUAAAUUAAAUAUUAUUUAAAAUAUAAACAACUUGUUUUUUGAA